UAUAUUGGGAAUGGCGAUCAGGUCCGCCAAUCCCAUAACAAACUUGUGCUUAGGCGGGCGAUUGUAUUCCCGGCGCGCUGGCUGCGGGCGUCCCUGGCCCCUCCCCUUGUUUCUCCUAUCAUAAGGAUGGCGAGUCCUCUGGUCCUUCCUGGCCGCCGCCGCUGUCUCCAGCACCCUCUGCGGCUGGAUCCUGGUCUGGGCGCGUGGCCUAGCGGGAGCCACGCUUCCUCUCUUCUCGGCGACUUCACUCUCGUCGGCGAUGUGAGCCACCGCAAGUCACCUGACUUCAGCAAACGUCGCAGGGUGAGC
rnacentral:lncRNA from 1 species